GGGGCUGUGGCGAAAUUGGCAGCCGCGACGGACUUAAAAUCCGUUGGAGCAGCCCUCCGUGAGGGUUCGAGUCCCCCCAGCCCCA
rnacentral:tRNA from 1 species